GCUUGUCUUCGGCUGCGCCUUCGGACCACCUUCAGGCAGCUGGUCUGCAGGUUCGCCUUCAGGUUCGUCUUCGGACUUGGUCUUGUUGUAUACGUAUAUAACGGAUUCCUCCUAAUGCAGCUGCCGCUACACCAGCGUAAAUUAACGCAUUUACCAGAUCGUCCUGAUUAGGAUUAUUUCCGGCGCUACGUCUUUCCUCCUCUUUUUUUCCCUUUGCUUCUC